GGGGAAUUUUGGACAAUGGGCGCAAGCCUGAUCCAGCAAUGCCGCGUGCAGGAUGAAGGCCUUCGGGUUGUAAACUGCUUUUCUACGGAACGAAACGGCUCUGUCUAAUACAUGGGGCUAAUGACGGUACCGUAAGAAUAAGCACCGGCUAACUACGUGCCAGCAGCCGCGGUAAUACGUAGGGUGCAAGCGUUAAUCGGAAUUACUGGGCGUAAAGCGUGCGCAGGCGGUGAUGUAAGACAGGUGUGAAAUCCCCGGGCUUAACCUGGGAAUUGCAUUUGUGACUGCAUCGCUGGAGUGCGGCAGAGGGGGAUGGAAUUCCGCGUGUAGCAGUGAAAUGCGUAGAGAUGUGGAGGAACACCAAUGGCGAAGGCAGCCCCCUGAGUGGAUACUGACGCUCAUGCACGAAAGCGUGGGUAGCAAACA
rnacentral:rRNA from 1 species